CCCUUUCAUGCUGAACAAACCUCAGCUCGACUGAGGUUUUAACCCGUGGAACAAAGAGAUGAAAAAUCCAAUUGUGUUGAUGUUUGUACAUAACUGCUGGUACGUGGGCAAGAGCAGGAAUAACCAGUGGGUCACCAAUGUGAAAGAGCUACUCAUGAAAUCACCAGUGCGUUUAUCCGAUUGAUAACAAGAGGUGGUUUUGUGCUGUUUUAUACAUAUAUAUAUAUAUCUAAAUAUCGUAUUGUGUUUGCAUGUAACUGUUCAACCUGCUCCUGGUGGGAUCUUUGUGCCACACACUUGAAUAUACAAAAAAAAAAAGUCCUCGAGAGUCUUUACAAAGGGCUGCAACCAGGAUUACAAAACACAUGGAUGAGUUCCUACGGCUGCAAUCACAAUAUGUCAUUAUUUGGUUCAAGUACGCAGCAACCAGUCGAGUAAAAAAGAUGACUAAGGACCGAAAAGGAAAAACACACACAAAAAAUAGAAGAGGUAUGAAGAUGAUGGACAGAUACUGUGGAAAAUGAAAUUUAAAAGUUACUGGGGUCUCACUGCCUUCAGUUCUCAUUGAUCCUGUCCACCCAUAGCCCUUCUGCCUGAAAAAGGAAAGGAAGAAAAAGCCGCGACGGGGAGGGAAUAAGACCAUAUAAGGAAAAGAAUUGAAUUUAACUGGCACAUGCUCUAAUCCUUAGUUUAUUUCUGGUUAAAAAUAUAGCAAUCCAGUGCAGUGUAAUAAGAAAUCUGCUGAAAAGGUAGCAGAAAAACAGCUAAAACCAAAGCAAAGCAAAGCUGAGCCCACAAGUCAGGGCUUUACCCAACAACGCUGGAUGUGAAAUGUCGAGGAGGAUUUUCUUUUUUUCCCUCCUCCCCCACCCCUAAAUAUAACUUUUUGGGGGUUUCAUCCCACCCCCGGUUGCUGCCACACUCAGGGAGCUGCCGCAGGGAGAUCGGAGGGUGGAAUUUGGUCCCUGGACGUACCGAAUCCCAACCGAGCCGUGUGAACCGGCCCUGGGGGGGUGGAAAAGCGAGGGGACACCGUCCGUUUCCAAGCGAUUGAGGGACAUGUUGGAAGCUGGAAUAUACAUCCUGCAUUACAAAGUGCAAAAUACUACAUGCUCAGAGCCCAAGCAUGAUGUCUGAAACAGUCCACAGCAAGAUGUAAGAGACAAA